rnacentral:rRNA from 1 species
GUGAGUCAUCGAAUCUUUGAACGCACCUUGCGCUCCUUGGUAUUCCGAGGAGCAUGCCUGUUUGAGUGUCAUGAAAUUCUCAACCCAUAAAUCCUUGUGAUCUAUGGGCUUGGAUUUGGAGGCUUGCUGGCCCUAGCGGUCGGCUCCUCUUGAAUGCAUUAGCUUGAUUCCGUGCGGAUCGGCUCUCAGUGUGAUAAUUGUCUACGCUGUGACCGUGAAGCGUUUUGGCAAGCUUCUAACCGUCCAUUAGGACAAUCUUAUAACAUCUGACCUCAAAUCAGGUAGGACUACCCGCUGAACUUAA